rnacentral:ncRNA from 1 species
AUAAAGUUUUAUUCUUGCUUUAUAUUAAGUAUUUAUAUUUUGUAAAUAUAUUUAUUUAUAGAUUUUAGUUUGUAUUAUAUAAAUUUAAUUAAGUAUUAAUUUAUGUAUUAGAAAUAUAAUUAAAAAUAGUAAAAAUUGUGCCAGCAACUGCGGUUAUACAAUUAUUUUGAUUUAAUAAAUAUAUAAAUUUUAUUUUUUGUAUAAAAAAUAUUUUGUUUGUAUUUAAGGUGAAAUUUAAUAUAAUUAAAUUUAUGAAAAAAUAUUAAUUUAAAUAAUCUAAUAUAAUAAACUAGGAUUAGAUACCCUAUUAUAAUUAGUGAAAAUUUAAUUUAAGGUAGUAAAUGAUAUGUUCAGGAAACUUAAAGAAUUUGGCGGUAUUUAUUCGAAAUAGAGGAACAUGUUUCUAAUCGACAAUCCACGAAAAUCUUUCUUAUUUUAAUAAUUUUGUGUAUUUCCGUCUAAAAAAAGUUUUUAAAAAUAUAUUUUAAUUUUCUUUAUAGAAAAAAGUCAGGUCACAAUGCAGAUUAUAAUUAAGAAAAAAUGUGUUACAAUAAAUUUAUUUAUGGAAAAUAAAAUGAAAUUAUUAUUUAAAAUUGGAUUUAUUAGUAAAAUAUUUUUUAUAAAAAAUAUUUGAAGUUAGAAAAUAAAUAUGCACAUAUUGCCCGUCAUUCUCUUUGAAAAAGAGACAAGUCGUAACAAAGUAGAUUUACUGGAAAGUGAAUCUGGUUUCAA